AUUGAACGCUGGCGGCAGGCCUAACACAUGCAAGUCGAACGGUAACAGGGAUCAGCUUGCUGAUUCGCUGACGAGUGGCGGACGGGUGAGUAAUGUCUGGGAAACUGCCUGAUGGAGGGGGAUAACUACUGGAAACGGUAGCUAAUACCGCAUAACGUCGCAAGACCAAAGAGGGGGACCUUCGGGCCUCUUGCCAUCGGAUGUGCCCAGAUGGGAUUAGCUAGUAGGUGGGGUAACGGCUCACCUAGGCGACGAUCCCUAGCUGGUCUGAGAGGAUGACCAGCCACACUGGAACUGAGACACGGUCCAGACUCCUACGGGAGGCAGCAGUGGGGAAUAUUGCACAAUGGGCGCAAGCCUGAUGCAGCCAUGCCGCGUGUUGAAGAAGGCCUUCGGGUUGUAAAGUACUUUCAGCGGGGAGGAAGGGAGUAAAGUUAAUACCUUUGCUCAUUGACGUUACCCGCAGAAGAAGCACCGGCUAACUCCGUG
rnacentral:rRNA from 1 species